AACUUUAUGGUGCUACGGCCGUAUGAUCUUAUUUGUAAACAACAGAAUUUUCUAGUAUGGCUUCCAACGUUCCAUAUUCUAACGAAGAGCUAAUGGCAUUCUUUACCAACAUGCAAAAUCAAAGCAGGGCACAAGUUAACUGGCGAACAGGGGCAGCUUCUGCCGAAACAGAGGCCUCAGCAUUGGUCGAUGAUGAAAAUUCAGCUGUUGUUACUGAGGGCAGUGAAGACGCUGACAGAAGUUUUGAUGAAAUGUUUGUUGAAGAUGUACGGUCGUACAAAUGCAUAUGUGACACUAGCUGCAGGGGUUUCAAAUAUACCCAGAUGAAACAGAAAGCUUGGGAGGUUAUUGCGGAAAAGUAUGGGAGGAAUGGUGAGUGUUAACUUUCAGUUUAAGCCCUCCUCGCCCUUGAAUCGUUUUGAAGCCAUAAGAGCACACAAAAUAGAUUUAUUCUGGAUUCAUUUUUCAUUAACAUUUUGUUUUUUGCUUAAUUGGGAAAAACUUACAAGCAAAUUACAAACGAUCUUUAGACAAAUAAGUUAUUACGAGACUCCAGGGUCUCAUAGGUUUUGAAAAUCUUUCUUAUUUGACAUGUAUGGUCUAAAAAUAAAAGUGCAUAUACUUUUCAUCUCACACCGUUUUUUCGUUGUAGUUGAUGACUUAAAGAAGAUUUGGAAAAACUUCAAAGAAAACCUUUCCAAAUGCCUAAAAAAGAGAGACUUGAUGACACGAUCUGGUGCUGCUGCAAGCUCACUGCCUGAAUGUAAGCUUUUUCACCAGCUACAAUUUCUUAGGGAUAAAGUAACAAAUUGGCCUACAGUCAGCAACUUGCCACAGGAAAGUGCCCCUAUGCAAGAAAUUCUGGGAAAAAGCUUGGCAUCGCCUGUUAGUCCUGUCCCUUUUGCCCCAAGUCCUGCAUCAAGCCUGGAAUCGAUGAGCACCAGGGAAACGAAAAAGAAAAACCACAACACUACUUCAAAGAAAACUAUUAAUUUCAGAUGAUGGGCAUCCCGAUAAACUUCUAUACGAAGCAUUAAAAGGAGAUAAUAGAGUGGAAGUUGAUGCUGACCAGAGUUUCGCAAACAGUAUUGUUCCAAUUUUGAGGAACCUCCCUCCAAGAAAGAACAGUCAAGUCAAAAUAGAAAUUCAGCAAUUGUUGCUUUGAUAUGAAUUUGACGAUGAUGAGAUCUAAUUCGCAAUUUUACAGUAAUUUAUUUUAGAAACACGAUAUGAAUUUUAUUUUAAAAUAUAUUUUACAAUCGUUGUAUUAAAAGAAAUAGCUUUACUCAAAUGUCAAAUGGAUCUGCUGUUCUAGUUAUUCUGUCUUUCUGCCAAUCAACUGAGCCUGCUUCUGAAUUGAAAUAGUUUUUAUAGUUUUCCCGAACCUGACGAGCAUCUCUUGAAUAACUAUGCGAGGCAGCAUUUCUGAUUGGUAAUAACCCAUCGCAGAUACAGUCCAGGUUUUUCCAGUCUCCUUCAGCAUAGCCUUGUGGGCAAUAGUUGCUUACUUCUCCAAAUUUUCUCCCAAACAUAAGGUAAUUAUGAAGGGCAACCACGGCUUUGGUAAUCGAAACAACUGUCUCAACCUCUGUAAUUAUUGGCCUUCUAAAAAUUCUAAAUCUCGAGGCACAUAUACUAAAAACAUUUUUCACUUGACGCCUAGCUCUGGAAAUACGGUAGUUAGUGAUUUGCUCCUCGGUACCCAUCGCAUUUCUUGCAUAUGGUUUCAUUAGGUAAGGCUUAAAGGAAAUGCCUCAUCUCCAACGAAAACAUACGGAAAAAAAUCAUUAGUCCCUGGCAACAUUCUAGCUUUAGGGAGUUUCAACAAACCAUUAUCCAUAGCAAAACCAAGCUUGAUUGCUGCAAAAACCCCUCCAUCACUUUGUCUUCCUGAAUCACCGAUGUCGAUCAUUGUAAAUUCGUAGUUGGCAUUCACAACAGCCAUCAAUACUAUACUGUGGGUCUUCUUGUAGUUAAAAAAGAAUGACCCACUGCGGGCAGGGGCUUGCAUAACAACGUGCUUUCCAUCUAUUGCACCAACACAGUUUGGAAAGUUCAAUUUCUCCUCAAAUUCUUCUGCUAUUUUUCUCCAUUCGUCUUCGCUACUUGGGACCUUAAGAUAUCCUGCUUUAAACAGCUCAGUCCAAAUUACUUCUGUAGUCUCUUUAACGAUCCUACUAACAGAAGUUUUACUCAUUCUGUAGCUUGCUGCAAUAGUAGUUUGUGCAUCUCCAGUUGCAAGAUACCUGAGAGUGACUGAUACGCGCUCUCCUGGCUGAAUUGCUUCCCUUUUUACACAACUCUUUAAAACUUUUGGAGCUACCAAUUGCAACAAAUGUUCGUAUUUUUUGAUGUCAUUCUAAAUUGCUGGUAAAAAAGCAUAUGAUCAUACAAUUUCAUCUCUCUGAUCAACAAAUGAUAUUCACCCUUCUCUUUUCGCUCUGCGUAUAACUUCCUAACCCAAAUCCUUUUAUUUUCCUUCUCUUUACUUCGUCGUAUUUGCCGUCUUCUUAACAAUAGCAGAACUAUAAUUUGCCUUCUUGUCAAACCCAUUCUGAAAAAUAUCUAUUGGCCUAAUGUUAUUGACCUUUUAUCGUGAAUUUUCUUUCGACCGAUGUCGAUCGAGGGCGGUCGAUUCGACCGCUUUCAUUUAAGUGGAAACUGGCCUUAAGAGGCUCGACCCCUCAUUUUCUGCUUGACUUUCCAAACUUUAUUGUCAUAACUCUCAAACAGUAUGGAGUAUGUUAGGGGCAAAAGGCUCAUUUUGAAGGUUUUUGUAUGGAGAAAUUCUUAGGGUUGUUUUUUGUCGUUUUCGGGCGUGGCUGAAAUUUCAUGGUGACGUCAUAGUACUGAAUUGCAGUGAUUUUUGAAAAACAAUUAAUUAAAUACAUGUUAUAAAUCAGAAAUAAUUGCAUCAAUUAAAAUAUCUCAUCGAAGCGAUUCCAAUGAUGGUAUUAGUUUUUCCGUAGCGUGAAGAGAUUAUUUUUUAAGAUGAAUUCAAAUUCAAACCUUCAUCAUUAGGUUGUUGUGAACCCUAAUGCGAGCCAUGAUCGUUUGGCAGCUACAUUUUUAGCUACAUUUUAAACGAUUGAGGGAAUUUGUUUAUCUGUUAUCUUCUUAUUUGUCAAACAAAGCCAGAUAAUCUCUUUUGUUCUGGCUGAUUGUUUACAUAAGGAUCGAAUAUCCCAUCCAGACAGCGACAGCAGGUACAGUUCGAAUUCGUAGUGGACAUGCCGUGAUCGAGUCAUCAUCUGAUUGCCUAGGCGAUCAUUCCUAAUCUAAUUGCAUUGGCUUUCACACUUCGAAUUACUUCAUUACUUUGCUAAUCAAUUGAAUAUGAUCCGAGUUUGAUAGGAUUUCAUCUCAUUAUCAGACAUGGAUCGUUCGACAUUUAUUUUGUGUUGUUGAAGACAGCAUGGUUGGAUUAUUCAGGCAGUGAGUUCAUCGUUUUUCGCUUAGUGGAAGAAAUAGUGGAUCAAUCGGAGCUUCGUGUUGCGUACAACUAUAAUGUGGCUGACCCCGCGUGUUCCAACCGCUUUAAUUUACUGAUUUGGUUCGAUCGAUUAUCCUCAUGGAUGGAUUUUCUUCAUCGUGAAAACUGUGGACAAAGGGAUUUUCCGUUGCUUACAAGGAGAGUAUUAUUUACCAAGAAAAUUCCUUUGGUGGAAUGGAACAAUUUUUUAUUGCAACUUGGACUCUGUCAAAGUGGGAUUUAUUGUCAAAAUGGAUAUUCUGUAUACUUGUACUUUAUUGAGGACAUCUAUUGGACUGGACAUUUAUGGAUUGAUUAAUAUAUUGCUGUUUAAUAGUAUCACUGAUAAUUGGAUUGUAUAUCAUUUAUUUCCAUUGAGAUUCAUCUCGUUCGAAAUGGUUUGUAUUUUUCCCAUUCUGGUUUCGCCUUGAAAUUGUUUUGAGGAGUGAAGAGAAAGACUGAGCGGGAAGGUAUGUUUGUAUUUCUUAUAAUUUUUAUUGUUCUUACUAUAAUAGAGCAUCAAUGUUUUUGCUUAAAUAUGGUUUACGGCCAGAAAUUUUUCAUUUCUGCUUUACUCAUGAUUUUUCUAACUCAGAAAAUAAUUUGCAUGGAUUUUAUUCUAUCGCUAAUGUCCCUAAACCAUAUUCGCAUUAUCGGGAGGGAUUCUUAAUAAUAGAAAUUUAUCUAUUCUGAAAUCAUAACAUUUGUUAUUUUUCUGCCUAAAACUAUAGCUGUAAAUUAUUCUUUCAAGUCAGAAACAUUUAUUGAAUGAGUUUCUAAACAACAUUAAUUUGUCUGUGUUCACUGUGCUCACAAUUUCAUGUAGCAUUCUAAGCACAUUAAUUAUGUUAAUAUUAUAAUUGGAGACUUUUGACUUCGUUUAUUUGUUUCAACAAUUGAAUCAAAGUUUAAUUUAUCAAUUACAAUAAAGUAUCACAUUAUUUCUGCAGAUGAAUUAGUGCAAAAAAACAUUUAUAAAACCAUUUCAAAUUUUGGUAAGUUGAUGGCUACUUCAUAGCUUUUAACAGUUUCACCAAACUAAUUGUUAAGUUUAGUUGAUAUUUCCUUUUUAUUCUAAUAAGAGAGUUAAUAUUGUCUUUCACUUGAUUGAAACUCGUUGGGUUUAUGAAGUCAUUUCUAAAGAUUAUCAAGAAAUUCCCAAAUCAAUUACAGUUCAUUAACUAAAAUUUCAUAUCUAGUAACUUUUGCGUAAAAAAUUAUAAAUUCCAGACCUUUCCCUGCUUAGUAUUUUCAAUAUGCUAAAUUUUCUGAUCAUUUGAAUGAACAUUUGAACAGUGGCAGAGACUUGGGGGGGGGGGGGCAAGAGGGACGACCGCCCCCAAUACUUUAGAGAACAAUGGUCUUUUGUUCUAAAACAAUGGGAAAUGUGAUGUCAUCUUUUUAAAACAAUAGGCUUGCCCUCCAAUAUUUGAUCAAGUGUCUGCCCCUGCAUUUGAAAUUAUUUGUACUGAAUGUAAUGUGCAAUUUAACUUGAGACAUAUAUAACCCCUUUCCCCCAUAUGCAACCCUCUUCCUCAUAAGGACAUAUUGCCCCUCCACAUAUGGUGUACACAAUUUGCAAUUCUGUAAUCAUUAAGCUAUGCUAAAUAUACAUUGUUGUUGUUUUAUCAUUUUAAGGCAAUUUAUUUAUAUCAUUCUAGUAUUUCCUUAUUGUAUUUGCAGAUGUGUUCCACUUGGCUUAAUAUUUCUUGUCUUGCUUGUUUUGCUUAAAUUCUUCUUAUAUUUGGUGAGUAUCAUUGGUCUUUUUUUAGGCUGAACACCUUCUAAUUCCUUUAUACAACACUCUUAGUCCAAUAAUAUGUAUGCUGAUCUUAACAUGCUAAACCCGAAUUUCAAAUUGUUUUAAGUUUAAAAAGGUUUUAUAAAUAUAAAACAUUGGGGCUAUGAUUGUUGAUUUCAUUUCACAAAAUUAUUUUUAUAUUAUUUUUUCUGCAAUUCUAAAGUUAACUGUAGAUGAGACAUUGAUGAAUUGAAUGUUGUUUUUUAACUAUUGAUACCCAUAUCAUAUUAUUUUUUUUCUUUAUAGUUUAAAUUAUUAUAUAUGUUUGGUUUGCGUUCAAGAGAGCUUAGGGAUAUCGCCAAAUCAGACUCACUGCAACUUCGCGAGCUUUACCCAUAUAUUUUAAAUUGAACUUGUUCCAGUUUAUUCUUUGGUUCAUUUACAAUAAACAGUUGUUGGUAAUUAUUGGAUUGCAUCCUGUUGUAUUCAUCAAGAUAUUUCAAAUUACAUUGUUGUUGGUAAUUAUUGGAUUGGAUCCUGUUGCCUUUUAUUGAGAUAUUUUAAAUUGUAUUGUUGAUACUGUUGUUACUGCGUUUUUGUUGGUAGAGGUUUGUUCCUUUUGUUUUGCCAAUAAGAGGUUUCCAAUUGUUACCUCUUCUAACAUUUUUAAACAUUCUGCAUCCAAAUGUGCAACUAUUACUGUCAUUAACUUUCAUCUGAUUUAUGUUUAUAUAACUGCAAACCAAAGAAGAGUUGAUGCUGUUACAAAGAUUCAGUUCAAAAUAUAUUAUUUUGCACAACAAUCACAAAGAUAAGACAUUUGAAUUGUAUUGUCUAAUUUCACUAAGGUUGAUCAGUAAUAUUUAUCUCUUUUUUUUCAGGAUUUUAUUAAACCCCAUUUUAAAACCCUUUUAUAAAAAUGGGAAAAGCUAAGAUAACAUGGAGUAUGGACAUGAAUGAAACACUGCUUAGUAUUAGGAAAUCCGCCUUAGCUAAGUAAGAAAAAGGUGAUGGGCGAGCAUUAAUGAACAUUUUUCUUGAGCACUGGCAGGAAUUAUUUCCAAAUUCUAAGGUUACUGUGAAUGCCUUGAAAAUAAAGCUGAGCAAGUUAACUAGGGGGGCAGAAGGCAAGGUAUCAACAGCAACUGAAACCGUCGGAAAUAUUGAUAAGCCCACAGAAACUAAGCAGGAUGAAUCAGAAAAUGUCAUUGAUAAUCAAUGGUCCACCCCAGUUGUUGAAACCACCCAAGGAAUUGCAAACAUGUUGAAGUUCAUGUUAAAGGAGUGAUUGGAACACUGAGCCAAAAAUAUACAAUCCUACAAAUUAAAUAGCUUAUAAACUGCAUAGUCAAAAACUGCAAUUAAAGUUCAACAUUUUUAAUUAGCUAAUCAAUCUCUAAUGAUCUUUGAUACAAGCAAAUAAAGACUGACCAAUCCUUUGGUUUUUUAAUAAUUGUGAAUUUUUUAAGCUCUUUCAAAUUACCCCAUCUUGUACAAUUCCCUCUAUUUAACAGUAAAACAGCUACCAAAUUUGGAAGGGUGGUAUCAAACAGGACUAUAAAAGCUUUAUUAAAUUAUUGAAAUAUUUGUUAGCAACCCUUUUACCAGCGAUUUCCUGGCUAUUUCCACAACUUAUAUACCAGCAGUUCUAUAUGAUGUUGAAGAGUUACGGCAUAAUUGGACAUGACACAUAAAGUCAAAUCGCAUUUUAGAAUAGCAAAAGUAUUCGUUAUCUUAUUAUUCUACAUGCAUAUAGUGGUUAAAGUGGCAAGAAUUUAAGUGUAGCGAUUUUUCUCUGCUUAUGUUUCAAUACAAUUGAUUACAAUAUGAAUUUUGAGGUUUAACUGCUUUAGAUAGUUUAUGCAAUAUUACCAAAAAAAUCAAAUUACUAAAUGUUUGGCAAGCUGCUAAAGGACAAAAAAUAUAUUUUAGAACCCUGACUUAAAUCAGGAUAUAAAAUGUGGUCACAAUUUGGAGCAUAAAACUGAACAGUUAUUGGGUCUACAUGGUGCACAAGGCAUGUAGCAAAUGCAACUGUAAAAACACCACAGUCCUUGUUGCUGAAUUGGUACAACAACAAGCUCGUGUUCUUUUCUACCAAGAAGUGAUGUCACUCUUUUGUAAUAACAUUGUUAUAUAAACUGUCAUACAAAUUAAUCUGACUCUCCAGACAACCAAAUAGAACUAACAAAAACUCGGUAUCCAGUAUACAGAAUUUGUAACAGAUCUGAGUUCACAACAUUGAAAUUUUUCCAAGGUUCCAGAAUGUUCGUCGAAAUCCAUCAACAUUAGGGGUUUGCUGUUGUAGCAAAACCUGAGCCUGGUAAAUUAUUGAGCCCAAAUAAAACAAUUAGAACAAGAGUCGAGGCACUGGAAAUUAAAAAAAGAAGCAACUUGAAUUGGUGUUAUCUAGGUUAGAAGGGGGAGACAGGAGUCAAUGAGCAAACAGGAAAUGCAAAGGUAGAUAUGUAACGUUUCAGGACUUGUAUUCUUCAGUAAUUACUAUUAUUAUGUUCAGCUAGAUCUUUGAUUAUGUUGCGUGUUAAUGUCACAUGUUUGUUUGUCACGCCUUUGUGUUAGUAACUCCCUUUCCGGGAAAUGUGCGUCACUGUCAUCGUGCUGUGUGAUGUUUCACAGUGUUCCUUUGUUUGUGUUUUAAUAUAAUGUAAUCCAACUUAGAAUAAUUGAGUCUCACUGUUUUUAACGAUAAACAUAACAUCAAAGAACGAGUAUCUCUUGUGUGCUAUCUACUUGGGGCUAGGCCCGUUGGCCUAGCCCAUCGCUCCACUAACGACCUGAGACCUGAUACUUCACCGUCAUAAGAAGAACCCUUAUCGCUACAGAUAAUUUGCAAACACUGAUUAGGCUUAAUUUCAGGACUACAGGAAUGGUAUCCCCCCAAGAACAAAAGGAUUAACUUUUCUUUAUGAGCUUGAUCGCCAGGUGGAGGAUGGUUUUAAACGAUUUUAUCCUGAAAGAGAAGUGAUUGACGCAAUUAUCAAAUGUAUUUCUCUUGUUAUCAAAUGUGUUUUCCUCUCAGCGAUUCUAUUAAAGCAAUGCAAGGGAAUCGUAUUCUGCGCUUUGCAAUAUGGUUCAGUUUCCCACUGCGUAACUGCAAAAUUUUCUAAUGUGAGUCUUAAACCUCCGAAAAAAGUGCAAAAUUGGGAUUUGGAAAGCAAAACCCAAAGUCAGCAAGGUGCAAGUGACAACCACAAUCAAAGAGAAAAAGGAAAUGAAGGGCGAUGAAGACCUGCUAGUAACAGAGAAAUUGUUAGCUGAAAUCCAGUCUUUAAAAUCAGAUGUGACAGCGUUGAAAGGGAAUUUGAAUAAGCAACUACCCCCAGAUGCUCUACAAGGAAACUAGCAAAUACACCGAGGCUUGAGGAAAUACAGCUGAUGGUGUGGACAUUUUUGUGAAGCAAGCAGAGGGAACAUACUACUUUAGAUUUACCUAUAGUUGGAUAUAAUGUAUUGGAAGAGUUACUAUGCAUCAGUGGUUUUGAAAAUCCAGAAUAUAACCUACUGGGUAAAUUAUCUGCAAGUUUACCAAUGAUGCACAAAAUGAAUUUUGUGCCCUUUUGAAUGCUAUAUUCGUGGAGAGGAAAGCACACUUUUCAGCUGUGAAGACAUAUAAGAUAGACACAAUAAUUAAGGCAGAAUACAUUGUUAAAUUAUCAUGUUGUCUCAAUACAGGUUUCUUUGCAAGGGACACUUCAGUAGUUUUGAAAAUGAUGUGAUGUGCCCCCUCCCCCCAGGGAUUUCAUUUAAUGAGUCACUGCUGAAUUUGAAAAGCAGUAUUUGUUCUAGAGUAGACGUAGUUUUUAAAAAUAUAAGUGCCGAUGACAUUGUACUAAAGGGCAGGACCCGAUUGGAUCACUACAUUUGGUUAGGACAGUUAUGCCAGCUGCAGUGAAACUUAUUGAAGAUUACAAGGGUAUGGGGAUUCAUUCGUAGACAGAGUAAGAAAUUACACUGAUGAAAGUUAUAACCCUGAUCUUGUACCUAAAGUCCCUUUGAGUAAAAAUUUAACCAUUUAUCAGAAAGAAUGUGUUCAGAGAAUGUUAUAUAAAGAAAGAGAUGUUGUCUAGCUAGUUUUUUUUCUUUUCCCUUGGCUGGUCUCCACCAUGACCCUUUUCCUGAUCUCCAGCACGCAUCUUUUCCUUUGCCUUCUUUUUCCUCUUUUUGCUGCGUUCUGGCUCCUGGUGGUCUUCUUCUUCAAGGUUUUGAAAGAGUCUCCAAGAGCUCCUCCAAGAGCAAAUGCUUGCGUGAAGAAUGUCUCAGCAGUUUCAUGUGUCGACAGGACUUGGAAAAAGGUGGUCAGCUGUGAAUCGUUGAAUAUUGAGAAUGGAGCAAUGGGCUCCAUGAGUGCCUGGAUUGCUUUUUGCCCUUUCUCGAAUUGUUCUCUAUUGAACAGAGGCGAUUUUUCCAUGACAGACAUGUUCUCGGACAGCGUUGCAUGGAGGUCUGAAAGGGCAGUCGUAGGCCGCAAAGCCACUCGCAAUUUUUAGGGCUUAGCCGGCUUAAAGCAGUGUCUUCUGUGAGUGUCUCUCUGCUUUUCUAGACGAGCGUAAAAAGUUUUUAUGCAAUUGAGAGAAGAAUGAAACACCUUCUCCCUGCUCUGCCUCCUUUGUCAAUGCCAUUCUCUGAAAAGGAGAAAAGGAAAACAUUGUAGCAAGGAGCAUUAGAAGAAGCAAGUGAAAUUUGCAGUUUUUCUUAACUUUCUGUGUUUUUCAGCGAUCUAGUUUAUAAGAUGAUUAUGCAGUUGCCUUUUUCUCCAGCCGUAGUCUAUAUACAAUAAGGGACAAUAUAGAAACUUAAUAUGACAAUAAUGUGUCAUAUCUGGAAAAAACUAUGAAAGAAGUACCAUGAAAUGUUACUCUUUGAAAGCGCGCUUUUAACAGCAAGAACCAUGGUAGGAAUGUGUAGACGGAGAGAA